rnacentral:lncRNA from 1 species
CAGACCUCCCUCUCCCUCUCCAUCGAAAGUUAAAAUUUUAAAAUGUUUUUCACCAAAAUACCACUUCUUUAAGUGGAAGGUCCAUGUGGCUAUCGGUGCGUUUUACCAAAAUAAUUCUUGCACUGAGUAAACUACAGGGGCAAAUAAGAAAGUGGUUUCAAUAUCAUAGUAAUCCUCUUGUUGCAAUCCUCUCCGAUUUCUUUCUUGGUUGGACUCAUCAUCUAGCCCGAAAAAUUGGAAUUUUCAAAUCGCCUUUUUACUCUUUUAGAGCAUUUCUUACUACUUGUUUGGGCAAUCUCCGGAGAAAUCCCGAGGCUAUAAAUCUAGGGAGUGAAAUUAAAUUUGAAGAUUUACCGAACGCUCUGAGCUUUCCAUGGGACCAGGUUCCUUCAUUGUUUUGGCAAUAUAAGGAAGCAGAAUCAGAUCCUAAUUUGGAGCUGCAGAAAAAUAGCAUGGUUGCAAAUGGUUUUAGUUGGGGGUAUAUUUUCAACACUUUCUAUGAGUUGCAGAAUGAGUACUUGGAAUUUCUGAGUAAAAAAAUUGGGUAUAAGCGAACUUACAGUAUUGGCCACUGAAUUUACUUCAUGGAUCGGAAUAGAUGAAUGUAACAUCGUAUUCGACUAAUGGCUAGAUUUUCGCAUGGCUUGAUGGGUGUCCUGAUGAGUCAAUUAUGUAUGUUUAUUUUGGGAGUCUGAUGCAGGAGGAUCCGAGUCGAGUGAUGCUGAUUUGUCAGAUAGCACGAUGAUGGCGCUAAGAUACCAUGAGAUGGCGGAUCGGCGCAAAGAUGGAAAGUGAAUCACCAUUAUUUCCUUAAUUGGGGGAAUUUGACGCGUCUUUGGUAAUUUGGCCAUAACUUUGGCUACGGUUAUCGGAAUCGUUAUUAUGACCCCAAUCCGGAAAGCUCUCUUCAGCGCGCACGUCGUGGCCACCAGCUAUGCUAGGUGGACAUCAAUUUCGAGUCCAAAAUCCACUGUUUUCCUUUUCAAAAUUCAAUUUUAAGUUAUUUUUUACUAUUUAUAGUAAUAUUUUGUUUCCUUUUUUCCAUAUGUUAGAAAACUCGAAUUGAGCCAAAUUUUUGGCAACUUACUUCUUUUACUUAAUAUUUUAUUUUGGUAUAAUUUUGGAAUUUUGCCAUUUUUGGUAAUUUUCCCAUAAUUUCGUAUUUCGCAGCUAUUUAACCCGGCUUGUGGGUUAGUUUUCAUCCUUUUGGAUUAUUAAUAAUAUUGAGUUGAAUUCAGA